ACCGACAAGAACCAAUGAGGGAAGAGAGAUAAGGAACCGGCCGUAGCGCCUACUCCCGACGCAUGCUGGGAGCCUGGAGGUCUUGGGAGGAGGAGUUGAGAGAACGGAGCGGCCGCCAUGGCGACAAACAUCGAGCAGAUCUUCAGGUCCUUCGUGGUCAGUAAAUUCCGGGAAAUUCAGCAAGAGCUUUCCAGUGGCAGGGUUGAAGGCCAGCUGAAUGGUGAAACAAACCCACCUGUUGAAGGAAACCAGUCAGGUGAUGCAGCUGCCUGUGCAAGGAGCCUACCAAAUGAAGAAAUAGUACAGAAGAUAGAAGAAGUGCUGUCUGGGGUCCUAGACACAGAAUUGCGAUAUAAACCAGAUUUAAAGGAGGCCUCCAGAAAAAGUAGAUGUGUAUCUGUACAAACAGACCCUACUGAUGAAAUUCCCACCAAAAAAUCAAAGAAACAUAAAAAGCACAAAAGUAAAAAGAAGAAAAAGAAGAAAGAAAAAGAGAAAGAGAAAAAAUACAAGAGACAGUCGGAAGAAUCUGAGUCAAAGCUGAAAUCUCAUCAUGGUGGGAACGUAGGGUUAGAGUCUGAUUCCUAUUUGAAGUUUGAUUCAGAGCCCUCAGUAAUGGGGCUGGAACACCCUGUAAGAGCACUUGGGCUGCCUAAGCCCCCUGCAGUAAUGUUGAAGUCACCAACAAUGACAUUGGGACUGAAUGAAUCCCCUGCAGUUGCUCUGGAACCUCCUACAAUGGCAGUAGAGGUAUCAGAACCACAUACUUUAGUAGCACUGAAGCCAGCUUCAGUUGGGGAAUUAUCAGAACUACAUGCAACAUUAGUCCCAGAACCCUUCACGUUAGAGCGACCAGAGUCAUCUGUGGCUGUAACACUGGAAUCAUCUGUGAAACAGACAUUGGAAUCUCCUGCAGUGAUGCCAGUGCCUACUACAACAGUUGUGCCGAAGUCAUCUGAGGCACAUGUGACAGUAUCAUCAGAAUACAAUGCAAGAUCUGUGCCGAAGUAUUUGGAGAUUCCAUCUUCAGAGCAGUCAAAGACCACAUUGCUCGAGCCUCCAGCAUCAAAAGUGCUAGAGUUAUCAGAAACUUGUGUGGUAACAGCAUCAGAAACAUCUGCAGAGUUCCAUCCCAGGUCAAGCUCGAUGACAGCUUUGGAGUUGCCAGAGUCAUCUGUAACUGAAAUUCUGAGAUUGCCUGAGCAAUCUACAGCAAUACCAUUGUUGUCUGUGGAGCCUCCUACAACUACAGUGUUGGAGUUGUCCAAACCAUCUGCAGUGCCAGAGAUGCCUGGGCCCCCAACAGCACCAGUGCUGGAGCUGCCAGGACCCCCCACAGCGCCAGUGCCAGAGUCGCCAGGACCUCCUGUGACAUCGGUGCCGGAGCUGCUGAGAACCCCCACAACGUCAGUGCAGGAGCUACCAUCGCCUCCCGUGACAUCGGUGUUGGAGCUUCCAGGGCCUCCCGUGACAUCGGUGUUGGAGCUUCCAGGGCCUUCUGUGACAUCGGUGCCAGAGGUGCCAGGCCCUCCUGUGAUUCCGGUGCCAGAGGUGCCGGUUCCAGAGGUGCCAGGGUCUCCUGUGGCAUCGGUACUAGAGUUUCGGGGGCCCCCUGCAACACCGGUGCAGGUUCCGGAGUUGCCGGGGCCCCCCGUGACACUGGUGCCAGAGUUGCCAGGGCCCCCUGCGACACUGGUACGUGUACCAGAGUUGCCGGGGCCCUCAGCAACACCAGUGCUUGAGUUGUCACAGGAUUUGCCUGGGCUUCCAGCACCAUCGAUGGUGUCGGAGUUGCCUCAGGAGGUGCCAAGGCAACCCACGAUGGCGCUGGAAAUGCCGCAAGAGUUGCCUGGGCUGCCUGUGGUGACAACAGCAUUGGAGUUGCCAGGGCAGCCUGUGGCGACUGUGCCUUUGGAAUUGGCAGAACAACCUGUGAUGACAACAGAGCCGGAGCAGCCUACAGUGAUGCCAGCGCUGGAGUUGCCGGGGCAACCUGAGGUGACAGCAGCAGCAGGGUUGCCUGGGCAGCCUGUGGCUACAAUAGCACCAGAGUUGCCUGGGCAGCCUGAGGUACCAGAGUUGCGGGGGCUGCCUUCGGUGACUGGGGUGUCAGAGUUGCCAGGGCAGCCCUCAACAACUGUGGCACAGGAGUUGCCGGGGCAGUCUGGGGCACUAGGGCAGCCUGUGGCAACUGGGGCGCUGGAGUUGCUGGGGCAGCCUGUAGCAUCAGAGCUGUCAGGGCAACCCACAGUAGCUGCAGCGCUAGAGUUGCCAGGGCAGCCUGUGGCAACUGUGGCGCUAGAAAUAUCAGGUCAUUCUGUGAUGACAACGUCAGAUCUGCCAACGAUGACCGUUUCUCAAUCCCUGGAGGUGCCUUCAACGACAGCGCUGGAACCAUACAGUACAGUAGCACAGGAGCUACCUACAACAUUAGUGGGGGAGACAUCUGUAACAGUAUCAGUGGAUCCCCUGAUGGCCCCUGAGUCCCAUAUGUUAACUUCCAAUACCAUGGACUCCCAGAUGUUAGCUUCCAAUACCAUGGACUCCCAGAUGUUAGCUUCCAAUACCAUGGACUCCCAGAUGUUAGCUUCCAAUACCAUGGACUCCCAGAUGUUAGCUUCCAACAGCAUGGACUCCCAGAUGUUAGCUUCCAACAGCAUGGACUCCCAGAUGUUAGCUUCCAACAGCAUGGACUCCCAGAUGUUAGCUUCCAACAGCAUGGACUCCCAGAUGUUAGCAACUAGCACCAUGGACUCCCAGAUGUUAGCAACUAGCACCAUGGACUCCCAGAUGUUAGCAACUAGCACCAUGGACUCCCAGAUGUUAGCAACUAGCACCAUGGACUCCCAGAUGUUAGCAACUAGCACCAUGGACUCCCAGAUGUUAGCAACUAGCACCAUGGACUCCCAGAUGUUAGCAACUAGCACCAUGGACUCCCAGAUGUUAGCAACUAGCACCAUGGACUCCCAGAUGUUAGCCUCCAGCACCAUGGACUCCCAGAUGUUAGCCUCCAGCACCAUGGACUCCCAGAUGUUGGCCUCCAGCACCAUGGAUGCACAGAUGUUGGCAUCCAGUACACCAGAGUCCUCUAUGCUAGGUCCUAAGUCACCUGAUCCCUACAGGUUAGCCCAAGAUCCAUACAGGUUAGCCCAGGAUCCAUACAGGUUAGGUCAUGACCCUUACAGGUUAGGUCAUGACCCAUAUAGAUUAGGACAGGACCCCUAUAGGUUAGGCCAUGAUCCCUAUAGGCUAGCUCCUGACCCUUACAGAAUGUCACCCAGGCCAUAUAGGAUAGCACCCAGGCCAUACAGAAUAGCACCCAGGCCUUAUAGAUUAGCACCCAGGCCCCUAAUGUUAGCAUCUAGGCGCUCUAUGAUGAUGUCAUAUGCUGCUGAACGCUCUAUGAUGUCAUCCUAUGCUGCUGAACGUUCCAUGAUGUCUUAUGAACGUUCUAUGAUGUCACCAAUGGCUGAGCGCUCUAUGAUGUCAGCCUAUGAACGUUCAAUGAUGUCAGCUUAUGAGCGCUCUAUGAUGUCUCCCAUGGCUGAGCGCUCUAUGAUGUCAGCUUAUGAGCGUUCUAUGAUGGCUUAUGAGCGUUCCAUGAUGUCUCCAAUGGCCGAGAGAUCAAUGAUGUCCAUGGGUGCUGACCGCUCCAUGAUGUCAUCCUAUUCUGACCGUUCCAUGAUGUCAUCUUAUUCUGACCGUUCCAUGAUGUCAUCUUAUACUGCUGACCGCUCAAUGAUGUCUAUGACUGCUGAUUCCUAUGCUGAUUCCUAUACGGAUUCAUAUACUGAGGCUUAUAUGGUGCCACCUUUGCCUCCUGAGGAGCCCCCUACUAUGCCACCUUUACCACCAGAGGAGCCCCCUAUGACACCACCAUUACCUCCUGAGGAGCCCCCUGAGGGACCAUCAUUACCUGUUGAGCAGUCAGCAUUACCUGUUGAAAACACAUGGGCCACUGCUGGAACAGCAUUACUCUCUGAAGAACCAGCUUUGCCCCCUGAGCCUCCUGUGAUGCAGACAGAGAUUCCAGAGUCUACAAUGUCUGAUUAUUCUGUAGGAGCUCCAGAGCCCUCAGUGUUAACAUCAGAGUCUGCUGUAACUGUCUCAGAGCCACCACCAGAGCCAGAGUCUUCAAUGACAUCAACAUCUUUAGAGUCUCAUAUGACACAAGAACAUGCUAUCAUAGGGCCACAGGCAGCUGUCCUAUCUUCUGUGCCCAGUACAGUGUCAGAAACUUCUAUACUACCUACAGAACACACUGAGCCUCCUAUUGUGACAGAGUCAGUGGAAACCUUUGAGCCCAUUUUAGCAUCUGGGCCUAUCUCAGAACAGAUGAUAUAUCUGACUGAGGUGGCAGUCCCAGAGCCCUCAGACAUGGCAGUCCCAGAGGUGGUGGUCCCAGAGCCAACAGAGACAGUAAUCCCAGAGCCAGCAGAGUUGGCGGUCCAGGGGCCAGCUGAGGUGGCAGUCCAGGGGCCAGCUGAGGUGACAUUCCAGGGGUCAGAUGAGGUGGUGGUCCAGGGGUCAGCUGAUGUGGCGGUCCAGAGGCCAGAAGAGGCAACUUUCCAGGGACUGGCUGAGGUGGCUUUCCAGGGCCCAACAGAAGUGGCGGUCCAGGGGCCCACAGAGGUGGCAGUCCAGGGGCCCACAGAGGUGGAGGUCCAGGGGCCCACAGAGGUGGUGGACCAGGGGCCCACAGAGGUGGUGGACCAGGGACCGACAGAGGUGACCGUCCAGGGUCCAGCAGAGGUGAUGUUGCAGGAGCCAGCCACAGUGGUGGUUCAGGAGCCUGCCAUGGUGGUCCCAGAGCUGAUUGCAGCAGUCCCAGAGCCGACCAUGGUGGAAGUGGCUGUGCCAGAACCCACAGUCCUAGAGUCAUCUGCAACAGUGUCUGAAGGUCCUGUGGUGGUUCCAGAGCCUACACCAGUGGUGGAGUCCACAGUUAUGACUUCAGAACCUGUUAUUAAAAGAACAGAUGUAGUCUCAUCUGUUGAGUCUAAUCUUUCUCAACAAACCACCAUACAGGAAAUGUCCAUUCAGUCAAGUGAAGAGGCAAAUAAUGAAAAAAUGCAUCUGGAGAGUCAUUCUUAUGAAAGCAUACACCAUGUAAAUAUAGUCUUGGAUGUAAAUAGUCCUUUAAUUGCAAAAGAGACAGAACAUAACAUUGUUUCUGCCACUAGCCCUGUUAGUGAAAUUGGUAUGGAGAAAUUUUUGCCUGGCAGUGAGACUGAUCUUAACACAGUGUUGACCACCUGCCCUAGUGAAGUUAAUAUAGUUGGAACUGUAUCUACCACCAGUUCCCAUAUUCAUGAACUUGAUGUAAAGGGAACUACUAAGGAGAUUGAACUUUAUGCAACAUCUGUUACCAGCUCAGUAAGUAAGGCUGAUGUUGAGGGUCCUUUACCCACUCAAGAGAUUGAACAUGACAUGGUAAUUUCAACUAGUCCUAGUGGUGGUAGUGAAGCUGAUAUUGAGGGACCUUUGCCUGCUAAUGACACUCACCGUGAUGUAUUGUCUGCUAAUAAUCUACUUGGUAAGACUGAUCCAGAAGCAUCAUUACCUGUGAAAGAGAGUGAACAUGAUACGGUAAUUACUAUCAGCCAUAAAGAUGGUAGUGAAGCAGAGAAAGAGACGCCACUCUCUGCUAAAAACACUGAACAGGAGUCUGCUGCCAACAUUUGUGAUCUUAAUGAUGCAGAUCUAGUAAGACCUUUACUUCCCAAGGAUAUGGAACGUGUCGCAAACCUUAGGACUGAUAUAGAGGGACCUUUGUCUGCAAGUGGAGUUGAACGUGACAUAGUAACUACUGCCAGCCCUGUUGUUAUUAGCUUACCUGAAAGAGCUUCAGAGUCUUCAUCAGAAGAAAAAGAUGAUUAUGAAAUCUUUGUGAAAGUUAAGGACACACAUGACAAGAGCAAAAAAACUAAAAGCCGUGAUAAAGGUGAGAAAGAGAGGAAAAGAGAUUCUUCAUUAAGAUCUCGAAGUAAACGCUCUAAAUCUUCAGAACACAAAUCACGUAGACGCACAAGUGAAUCCCGUUCAAGAGCAAGAAAGAGAUCAUCUAAAUCUAAGUCUCAUAGAUCCCAAACUCGUUCACGAUCACGUUCAAGACGUAGGAGGAGAAGCAGCAGAUCAAGAUCAAAGUCAAGAGGAAGGCGUUCUUUAUCAAAAGAGAAACGUAAAAGGUCUCCAAAACACAGGUCUAAGUCUAGGGAAAGAAAAAGGAAAAGAUCUAGCUCUAGAGAUAAUCGGAAAGUAGCCAGAGCUCGAAGUCGUACACCUAGUCGUCGUAGUAGAAGUCAUACUCCUAGUCGACGAAGAAGGUCUAGGUCUGUGGUCAGAAGAAGGAGCUUUAGCAUUUCUCCUGUUCGCCGGAGCCGCACCCCAAGUCGCCGGAGCCGUACCCCAAGUCGCCGGAGCCGCACCCCAAGUCGCCGGAGCCGCACCCCAAGCCGUCGAAGAAGAUCUAGAUCUGUGGUAAGACGAAGAAGCUUUAGUAUAUCACCAGUUCGACUAAGACGAUCACGGACACCCUUGAGGAGGCGUUUUAGUAGAUCUCCUAUUCGCCGAAAACGAUCCAGAUCUUCUGAAAGAGGCAGGUCACCACCUAAACGUCUGACAGAUUUGGAUAAGGCUCAACUACUUGAAAUAGCCAAAGCUAAUGCAGCUGCCAUGUGUGCUAAGGCUGGUGUUCCUUUACCGCCAAACCUAAAACCUGCACCUCCACCAACAGUAGAAGAGAAAGUUGCUAAAAAGUCAGGAGGAGCCACAAUAGAAGAGCUCACUGAGAAAUGCAAACAGAUUGCACAAAGUAAAGAAGAUGAUGAUGUUAUAGUGAACAAGCCCCAUGUUUCGGAUGAAGAGGAGGAAGAACGUCCUUUCUAUCAUCAUCCCUUUAAACUCAAUGAACCUAAACCCAUUUUUUUCAACUUAAAUAUUGCUGCUGCAAAACCAACUCCACCAAAAAAUCAGGUAACAUUGACAAAAGAAUUUCCUGUAUCAUCUGGCUCUCAACACAGAAAAAAGGAAGCAGAUAGUGUCUAUGGCGAGUGGGUUCCUGUAGAGAAAAAUGGUGAAGAAAACAAAGACGAUGAUAAUGUCUUCAGCAGCAAUUUGCCUACUGAGCCUGUGGACAUCUCUACAGCAAUGAGUGAACGUGCACUUGCUCAGAAGAGACUUAGUGAAAAUGCAUUUGACCUUGAAGCCAUGAGCAUGUUAAAUCGAGCGCAAGAACGGAUUGAUGCCUGGGCUCAACUAAACUCAAUACCAGGCCAGUUCACAGGAAGUACAGGAGUACAAGUUUUGACACAAGAACAGUUGGCAAAUACUGGUGCUCAAGCCUGGAUAAAAAAGGAUGGACAUUGAAGAUGGACCUGAUCCAUGGAAAAAUGGCAAAUGUUUAAAACUGGCUCAUGAUCCACCCAGUUUAUAUCCUUAGGUCAUUUUAAAAUUUAUUAUUGUUGUUGCUUUUGGUGGUGGUAUUUUUGUUAACCAUUUUUUGAGUGCUAACUGUGUGCCAGGUGCUGUAAAGAAUAUUCCACAGUUCCUGUUGGGCUACUAAUCUAAUAACUUAAAGCGGUGGUUCUCAAAUUUUUCCUCAUCAUGGGACACGUGAAAGGUUUAUCUUUGGUGGAUCACUACCCCUAGGAUCCCUCUACCACCUCCUGCUUUCCACCCACUGUUUUUUCCCUGAAUUCCCUGCCCCUACCCUAGUGCCUGCACCCUCCCACAGAAUCCCUCAGCCCCAGUUCCUCACCCCUUUCAUGACCUCCAGCCCCUUUCCUAUUUCCCACUGGUUCUUAGUUAGUUGGUUUUAGGCAGAAGUAGUGGGGAGAUUCCCAGCUCUAGAACAAUUGCAUGUGGCAAUUUUGCCAUGGGAUUGGAUGGUUGGGGGGAGGAUGGCUGGAGAAUGGCAGUGGUGGGAUUGGCAGUGGUGAUGGGGUGGGAAUUGAGGGUGAAGGGUUGGAAUGGGGAAUGCUAUGGACCACCAAUCAGGCCCUCAUGGCCACUGGUGGUCCACAGACCUCAAAUUGAGAACCACUGAUCUCAGGAGAACAACAGGAUAUUUAAGACCCUAAAAACAAAGGGAGUGGAUGGACGACUCGUGCGGUGAAGACAUAGGUGCAUCUGUUUUCAGAUUUCUGCAAUAAAAUCUGCGGACUCCACCUACAGCUACCUCAUUGUUGGGGGAGCCUUAGGUGGUUAAGGAAGGGCUUCCUGAAGAAAUGAAUUUUUCGGCAUGAUGAUGGAGGAAAUUGGCUUGGUGGGAGGGUGAUGGGAAUUUGUUUCAGGAGUAUUGGCAUCAUACCAGUGCUGAAACUGGGAGGCAGCGUGGUCUAAAGGCCUGGGAAGGGUUCUAUGUCCGGCUCUACCUCUGACUCCUUGUGUGAUCUUGGGCAAGUAACUUCUUGGCACUCCAGAUUCUCCAAAUGGAGACAGGGUUGUGAGGCACCAUGAGAUACAGUACAUAUAUACUAAGCUUAAAGUACUAAAUUUUAAAGUAUUGAUGUUAUUUGCUAGUUGCUCCAGGCACGUGUUCCUAAUAAUAAAUAACUUGAUUGUUCACCUUUGAAAUAUUAGGUUUUAUAGGUCAUCAUUUCCACAGAGCCAAUAUUGAACUAUGGAUGUUCUCUUCUUGCUAUUUUUGAAAAUAGCUUCAUGACAGUGUGUACAAUGAAUAACUGGCCAGAUCAAUGUCCUCUGUGACUCUUUAGUGGAAUUUCUAUGUAUUUAAUUCUCUGGACAGUUCUUGAGGAAUUUGGUUUUGAAACUGAUAUUAUCAUUUGAAAUUUAAAAACACAUAGCACUGUAUUUAAAUACAUUUUAAAUCAUGAUCAUAGGAUAAAAACAUAUCAUUUGAAAAAUGGCAUUCUUUUUUCUUUUUGAAGUUUGUCUACUUAAUCUAUUUCUGUUAAGUUUUGUUACCACACUUUAUAUCUUUGAAGAUUGAAUGCUUCAGUUUUAGGAGAUUAGAAUUAGAGGACCUUUAAGUAUAUUAUGAUCCCAUAUAUAUGCACAUUGUUGGAUAGAAAUAUCUGCGAAACUUUCAGUUGGAAGAUUUCCAUUUUGUUUUUGGUAAUGAAGUGGUGACUUGACUGAUCAUGGAAUAGAGUGUAUAUAUAUAUUUUUUUUUUUUUUUCUUGGAAUAGAGUAUAUUUUCUAAGAGUAAUAACUUUUUAAAAGCCUGGUACUAUGUUGAUGCAGUAGUUGGCUUCUUCAGAUUUUCCCUCAAAUUUUUUCCAUUUUUAUCUUCAGUGUAAUAGGCUGCUCACAGGUAUUUAAAAUGUCCUUUAUAUAAAAUAUCUAAAAUUCAGACCCUUGCAUGUGAAAUUUUACUUAGAUUGUCCCUGAAGAAUAAAUUUUUAAACAUUCAGAUAGCUCAUGUAACUCUUUAGCUAGUCCCCUUAUCAAAACCAUUUAAAAUUUUGUUGUUGUAGACAAAAGCAGUAAUAAUGUUUUGUUAUCAGUAAAAUUUAACAUUUAUAUACUAAAACAAGUUUUGUGGCUCAUAUGAACUGAAAAGGAAUAUUUUCCAUAUUAAAGGCCAUACCACAUCAAUGAAAGGAACUGUUGUGACGAUGCAAACUAAUUUUGAACAUGCAGCAUCUUCCCUGACAGAAAAUAGUCUGUUCAUUUAUUUUCAGUAGCGUUUGAGGAUUAAUUAUUAAAAUGACCCAUAAAUUUUACUUAUUCAUAUUAUACCAUAAAAACUAACCUUUAAUUGAUCACUAAGGAUUUGUGAUAGCCUUUGUUUCUUCCGCUUUCUAUAAAACAUAGUCCUCAUGAAUAUUUCCAUUUUCCAUUUACCCAGUUGUAGAAAUUGGAUUUAAGACUUUGCUAGAGAAAAAGGAGGAAUUAGAAAAAAAUUGCUUUGGUCGUAAGUUAACGUGGUGGUGUACUGGUUGGUAUAGUUUCCAAAACUAGUUUGAGAAUUUUGAAAUUUCUGUAACAUGAACUUGUGAGAUGAAACAGCCAUGUUGUCAACUUCACAUAACCUGGGGCUGAGGAAAUAAAACAUGGUAAAUAAUUCAGAAGAAGAAUUUGAAGCCUAGGUGGCUCUGGAGUUUGCUUUUCAAUUGUACUCUGUACAGUGCCCUCUUUUUAGGGAGAGGUUGGUGGAAAAGAGGGAAGGAUGAACCUGGAAGUAAGUAAAAAUAAAAACCAAAAACAUUUUAGGUGUGUAGCAUCAAGGCAAUUUAGUGUAUAAGCAUUAACUUACUUUUCUUUUCAUACACACACUUCAUAUGGCCUGCACCAAUCGAGGAACUUUUAGCUCCAAAUCUAUGUUUUUAUGAGCCUGAGGAACUGAACCAAGGCUAUAUAUAUUUUUUAUCUCCAUAGCUACCUCCUUCCAUCAGAGCACAUUGAUAAACUUAAUGUCCAAUUGUGACUUUUUGGCAUAUGUUCCCCCAGUAGCUAAAUAGCUGAGGGAAACAAGAUCACACAGCUUCAGUGUAGUUUGGGGCCAUUUUUUAGUAUUAACUUAGCAAUAACAGGAAGUGUAAAUUUUAUGGUAAUUCAUCGUAAUUGGAUAUUGUCAUUUCCUGUUUUGAUAAGUUAAUAAUUCUUAAUAACUACUUGCUAGGUCAGUUAAAAAUAAAAUUUUUAAAAAGAGAGAAGGAAAAAAAAAGCACAUUCAUUUGAAACAAUUGCUUCAGUAGAAGUCAACUCUUGUAUCUUCAUUUUGGGUAUAUAUAGAUGCCCUUUAAUAUAUUUCUUACUGUAUGAAAAUACCUGACUGUGUUGAAAAUGCCAGUGUAUUGUGUAUUUUAAGACAUUAAGCAGUUUGCUGCUUUGAUGGAAAUUAUGGUUCAGUGGGUUGGAUACAGGAGAGAUGAUAGUUCACAGAAUAACCUGUGAACUUUCACCCCUCUAUAUGGAAACUUGUUUCAGGGCCAAAUGCUUGUAGCUGCCUUCUUGCCCCGGUCAGUGCCAGCCCUACUAUUCACAACACUGCGGCCACCGAGGCCUAGGAUCAAUUCUUAAGAGCAGCCCCUGUAACCGGUGGAAUGGGAGCCGUUCUGAUGAGAAAAAUGGGCUGGAGAGAAGGAGAGGGAUUAG